rnacentral:misc_RNA from 1 species
GAUGAAGAACGCAGCGAAAUGCGAUAAGUAAUGUGAAUUGCAGAAUUCAGUGAAUCAUCGAAUCUUUGAACGCACCUUGCACCCUUUGGUAUUCCGAAGGGUAUGCUCGUUUGAGUGUCAUUGUACUCUCACACUCUCUGAUCCUUUGGAUUUGGGGAGCAGUGGACUUGGGUGCUUGCUGCUUCCUUGUGGCUCACCUGAAAUGCAUCAGUGCAUCUCUCGAUUGGACAUAGUACGGCGUGAUAAGUGUCUUCGCCGGCACCUCAUAUGAGGGUGGCCGAUCGGGAGCUCUGUGCUUUCAAACCGUCUUCGGACAACGCUGACAACUUGACCUCAAAUCGAGUAGGACUACCCGCUGAACUUAAGCAUAUCAAUAAGCGGAGGA